UUCAUAUCAUCUAGGGACUAGUAAUGUGGUAAGUGACCUGGCAGACCCUUCCUGCUGGGUGUAAAGGUUCUUAACAGGCUGUCCGCUGCUCUUGAUGCUGACUACUACUGUUUUCCUCUUCCGGGCUCUGCUUUGGUUCUGACUUAGCCAGCUCGUUCCUGGUUAGUGUUCUUAUUCUUUUGGAUCCUCAUCCACAACUGUUAUCUAGGGAAAGUCUUAAAAUCAUUUGCAUUUUAUUCAGUACAGCCUGGAAAGGCUCUGGUGCUGUGUAUCUAUAUGUACACGAAUAAGCAUACUGUUUGGAAUCUGGUUUGGUUUGGUUUGUGGGUUUUUGGUUAAGGUGUGUGGGUGUGUGUUUGCAUUUUGGUUUUGAAGUCUGUUCUAGCUUGGGCUGCUUUAAAAAAAAAAACAAAAACCAGAUAUUAAGGAGUUAGCUGUGGGAGUGCAUGCUUCCUGCUAGGGCCUCUGGGAUGUUUGGGGAUCGAUGGAUUUGGUGAUAUACACAUUUGUAUUCUUACUAUUGUUUCUCCUAUUUCUUUUUCUUUCUCGUUUUUUUUGUUUGUUUGUUUGUUUUCUUUCCCUUAGGGUAUUGGAUUUUCUGAAGCUGUGUUUCCUUGCAACUUUUCUUGAAAUGAGUCUGGGUGGAACCAAAUUGUUUUUAAUGGACUGGGCAUCUCCUCACCUUGAACAGGACUAAAGGACGGAGGCCGCUCCACCCCUUUCCCCUCUUCCAAACCCCUAACUUCCUCCAGGCAAUACCCUCUGCCCUACAGGAUUGAAGAUGGCUUGGCAGCCCUCCCAAUCCCACACCUCCUGUUUGCCCGAGGGGAAGAACCUAAAGACUUGAUGGGGUAGGGGAUGGGGGCAGACAGAAAGACAGCAACAUGUCCAGCCCCUAGUCUCCAUAGAGAACGGUGCUUUGUCUGAGGAAACCUGAGUUUCUGAUUCCCCCGGAGCAGUCAAUGGUGAGAUUACUGGGAAAACUUACUUCCCAGAGAAAAUGGAGAUCCUCUUUGUGGGAUCUUAGGAGAGUGACUGACUGGGUGUGCCAAAAAUGCCCAGGGUUCUGCCCUUGGUACUAGAUUUGGUGGGGGCAAGAGGGUCCAAACCCUGCUAACAUACCACUUCUUUGUUCAACUCCUUUACCUUCCUGGCCCUUUGAGGAGGGACCAUGAGAACAGAAACUACCUUGUGACAAGCUGCUGUUCUGGGUUUUCUCUUCUCACAUAUUGACAGUUUAUUUCCCUGGCCUUCUAGAGGGCUGAAUCCUUUUGGCUCCUUGCUAUCUGACUCCUAGUGGACUUGCCCCUCGGAAGCAAAACCCAGAAGGUUGCUUUCUCCUGGAAACCUAGCCAAGCCAGUUACCACCAUUUGCUGCUUCAGGCUCAGUUGUCUGUUGCAAUAACCAGCUCUUAGGUAUUCCCUUUCCCUGAGGCUUUCCAUUUAACAUGGAAUCCUUCCCCCAAGAAGGCUUCUUCCUUGUUUUAGAGGAAGAAGGUACUGCCUUUGGAACAUAGGGAUGUCAUGGGACCUCAAUAAUGAGGACCCCUAGUUUGUUAAGUACCAGGAGUGUGGGGAAGAAAGCAAUUUGAGCAGGAUGUGGCCUACUCGCAUGGGCUCUUCUUUUUCAGGUUUGAUGUAAGCUUGGGCUUGCAUCCCCACGGUACAUACUUUGACUUAUUGUGGGAUAACUCAGCACUAGUAGGCAGGUAAAGUCACAGAUGUGGUGUUUUUUUUUUUGUUUUUGUUUUUUUUUUUAAUCCUUUACUAUAAUACUCCCCUUACUUGGCCUGGAGGUGCUUCCUGCCUUUGACAAAGAGCAGAGAAGAAAUGGAGCCUGACUUAAGUGAACUCAGCUCAGAGUUCUAAGGACCAGCACAGUGGUAGCUGUUUUCUGCACAGACCAAUGGAAUUGCUUUUCUCAGCAUCCAAAUUGUGAUAGGUUGCUCCUGCAGGAGGCAGCUUCAGUCCUGGAAUACCAUAGGGUGAUGUUCCUUCUGCAUGCAUCUGCAGGGUCUGUGACAUAUAAUGUGGAAAGACAUGGCAUGUGAGAUGAGACUUGGUUUGUGAGGCAUAGGGUCACUGGAGAACCAUCAGACUCAAGAGGGGAGAGACUGAAUUGGAUCCUUUCUUCCCAGAACACUUCUGAUAGACCCCUUCAGUCACUGAGGGAGUAGCCCCCAGGGUUGGAGAAACACAUAACCUUGGGACAGAGGCUACAGUUGUAGCUUAUUUUCCUGUCCCCAAGCCAGUCCCAAUUCCACUUCAGAACAUGGCACCCUGCCCAAUUGGCCAAGUGUUGUGCUUAUUCUUCAAAGCAGCUUGGGUGUCUUUUUAAAAUGUGACAGUUAAGGAAAAACAAUAUAUAUAUAUAUAUAUAUAUAUAUAUAUAU
ensembl:lncRNA